AAAUACAAAGUAAUAAUUUACAUUUAAUUUCGACUUAAAAAUUUAAUCUUUAUUGAUUUGUAUUUG
rnacentral:tRNA from 1 species